rnacentral:antisense_RNA from 1 species
GCUACAUGAGACGUGCUCACUUCUGCUUCACCUUCCGCUGUGAUUGUAAGUUUCCUGAAGCCCCCAGCCUGCUUCCUGUUAAGCCUGUGGAACUGUAGUGGACAUCUGAAACCCUAAAACAUCUCAUCUCUGGAAAAAAGAGGAAUGAGUCAGGUCGGGAGAGUGAGAAGCUCGCACCACUUCGAAAGCAUCUGCCUGGAUGCUGAAGUUCGGAUUGUUCUUGUAGCUCUGGAUCACACAGGACUUCACACCUUGUCCUCCGCACUCAAUGAGAGCCUGAGGCCGAUCCACAGAGAGGAGCUGCACCUUCUUCAUUUCCCGAACUCCCCAGAAGAGAACCUGAGGAGACAACCAGCAGAGCCAUCACCACUGAUCCACGGAGGAGCCCCACGCCUGCCCUGUCUCUGUGUGGAAAAGUCAGACCUACUCCCUGAGAACCAUGCUGUGUUCCUCCAGGAAAGAACUGCACAGCUUUUUGAGGGCUCAUUCUUUUUCUCUAGAUCUCCCGCCCAUUCCAUACGACCGCUCCUACAAUUCAGGUGGGGCCACUGCCCUUGAGUGCCAAAGAACAACUCAGCUCCUCCCCUGACCCGUACCUCCACUCGGUAUUUGCUCAGCACUGGCCGAAUGUUGGCAGGAACUGGGUAGAUCUGGGUGAUGUCUGGUGGCUCAACGGGUGGGAGGCCUUGCAGCCCGGAAGAAGGGACCUACCACACAAGACAUAUUCUAGUUGGCAACAGCAGAUGUGGUUAAGCUAAUUACAAGAAAGCUCAGAAAAAGGAGAGCAGACACUGCAAAUGUGAAAUAGGCUUAAGGUAAUGAAGCUGCAGGAUACACCAGCCCAGAUCAAGAAGCUGGUAAAUAAUGAGGAUGGCAAUGCCCAACACUGCCUGGCAGUGAAGAGAGUCAAUAAUGUCAGCUGAAUUUCUCCAUAAAGGGCUUGGCUUAGGGUUGGGCCAGGAAAAGCCACUGCUGAAUGGAGAUCUGGAAGGGAAAUGGAAAAAAAUGGAACAGCAAAGGGAAACACAGCCAGCCCAGCAGAAAGCAAGAUGGGAACUUCAUGGUCUCCAUGGUCACCAAGGUCUCUGCUCCCCUUCUGUGAUGCUAACUUCUUGAUUCCCUCCUGACCUUGACCCAAAGACAGGGGCUGUCAGGAGUACUGCGAGGAGGUGGGGAAGCUUUAGGCAGGCUUCCUGGAACUACUGUUUUACUUAUUUGUGCUUCUGCAACCUCCUGAGGAGGUAGAGACAUUAAAUAAAGAAACAAACCCUUUCCUUUCAUUUUAGACUACCUAAUUUAAGAAAAGACUAUUUGUGUAAGUUAAAAAAAUCCUCCAGUAAGCUUUUGGCUCUAUCCAAGGGUUCAGCACACAAACAUCUUUGGAGAAGAAGAGGUUUGGUUCACAUCAUAAAAGAAAAGGGAUAGAGAUGAAUGUGUUGUGUAGGGCGUAGAAGCAACAAGCAAGAGAGAAAGAAACACAGAAAGGCUGAGAAAAUACCCAUCCAUUUCUUUUCAGCCAGGUGAGAUCAGUAAAAACCUCCUGUUUCCAAAAGGCAUGGACAUUUUUAUUAAACAGCAAUAGGACCUGGAAUUAGCUGGAGGCUGGGUACAGUUGCAGGUUGCUUUAUACAAGUAUCACAUUCCUGAAGAAGUGUGUAGACUGACGUUCUGUAAACCAGAUCCAAUUUUGAUUGCCAUUUAAAUGGAAGUCAGUGAAAAACUCUUUUAGUAAAGCAAAUGAUCAUCACC